ensembl:snoRNA Gm25490 small nucleolar RNA SNORA17
GCUAUUUGUAUAAGCAUUGUAGAUAUGGCUGCUGUGUCACAUGUGUGUCAUUGGGUGGUAGAGAGAACAAAGGAUAUGUCUAAGCCCAGUGUUCUGACCUAUGAACAUCUAUGAUUAGUAGCCUAUGAUU